rnacentral:rRNA from 1 species
GACAGAGGGUGCAAACGUUGCUCGGAAUUACUGGGCGUAAAGCGCGUGUAGGCGGACCCGCAAGUCGGACGUGAAAUCCCUGAGCUCAACUCAGGAACUGCAUCCGAAACUGCGGGUCUGGAGUGGUGGAGAGGGAAGCAGAAUUCCUGGUGUAGAGGUGAAAUUCGUAGAUAUCAGGAGGAACACCGGUGGCGAAGGCGGCUCGCUGGACCUCUUCUGACGCUGAGGCGCGAAAGCUAGGGGAGCGAACGGG